CGGGUCGUAGCUCAGCCUGGUAGAGCGCUGCGUUCGGGACGCAGAGGUCGCUGGUUCGAAUCCAGUCGACCCGACCA
rnacentral:tRNA from 1 species